rnacentral:lncRNA from 1 species
GGGCACACCACCUGUCACCCCGUGUGACUUGUAGAUUUUCUGUUGUUUGUUCCACAGAUACCUCGUAAUCUGAAGAAACCAGCAGAAUGCAUCAGUGUCAGAGUUGGCUCUUGUAGCGCAUGCAAGUUGAUCAUAAGCAGAAAACCAGAAGCGGCAGUGGUCUCCAGAAGAGACCCAAGGACCCCAAGCUCUCUGUGACACAAACAGGAAGGGCACUGUGGUGCACUGAAAACCUGCGCCAGUAGUGCAUUACCAGUGCACUAUGCUGCUGUUUCAUCAAGGUGAAAGGAGGUUACCACCCCCAGAGGAACUUCAUGCUCUACAGUAUGCUUUUGAAUGUCACGUGGAGAAGUGUGGAAGGCGUUCCUCCAUGGCAGAGCGGUGACCGGAGCGUGAGCUGAUACCUGGCAGACAAGCUGGAUGUCAUUGCAACUGGUGGCGGAAGGAGAAGACGACAAGAUGCUCGUGUGGUUGUGCGUGCCAGGGCUUGAUUGCGUCUUUUCUCAGACUACACUGUUUUUACUUGUACACAUGUAAAAUAAAUAUUGUUUGCUCAAUUUGAGAUAUCA